AUUUAAAAAUCAAAAUGGGGAGGGGUGUAUUAGAUAAUGAGGACUUCCAAAAAGCUAACUCCUCCUCCGGGAUCAAAAUGCACCUGAAAGGUGGGAAGAGGUCGAGCCCCGGGUUCUCGCCGCAGAUGAUGAAAUCAUCUGAGACCACAUAGCCGGAGAAGGCCAAACUGAGUUUUGAAUCUAGGCAAUCUUGACCCCAGAGCCUUCCGGCCUAAAGGAUUACUUCGUGGUCUUGCUUCUAAGACUGUUUGUGGGCUUUCCACACUUUCAUAGCCCAAACAUAGACUUAUUCUGAGAUGAUGAGAGGUUUAUGCCCAGAAGCUCAACACCACUACUCCGUGUAAAGAAGAUAUUGCUUGGUCAGAUCCAGUAAAAUACCAAAGGGCAUCCAUUAGAAUCUUGUGCAUAAGUUUGCCCACCACCCACUACCCGUGCUCACUACCAGGUUCUGGUUUCUGGGACCCCAGUGGUCAUUUUCACUUUCUUUGUACUAUUCGUCUAUUUUAAACUAUUACAACAUCAAUAAAAUACCUGGCCAAA